rnacentral:rRNA from 1 species
CUUUACUGCAACUUGGCAGUGAGUUUCGGGACAUUCUGCGUAGCAUAAGUGGGAGGCUUUGAAGUCGGGCUUCUGGGUUCGAUGGAGCCACCGUUGAAAUACCACUCUGGAUGUUCUGGGAUUCUAACCUGCGCCCAUGACCUGGGCGGGGGACACUGCCUGGCGGGCAGUUUGACUGGGGCGGUCGCCUCCUAAAUUGUAACGGAGGCGUGCGAAGGUUCCCUCAGCCUGAUUGGAAACCAGGCGUAGAGUGCAAACGCACAAGGGAGCUUAACUGCGAGACCGACAGGUCGAGCAGGUGCGAAAGCAGGCGUUAGUGAUCCGGUGGUUCCGAAUGGAAGGGCCAUCGCUUAUCGGAUAAAAGGUA